UACGUAGGGUGCAAGCGUUGUCCGGAAUUAUUGGGCGUAAAGAGCUCGUAGGCGGUUUGUCGCGUCGAAUGUGAAAACCCGGGGCUCAACCCCGGGCCUGCAUUCGAUACGGGCAGACUAGAGUUCGGUAGGGGAGUCUGGAAUUCCUGGUGUAGCGGUGAAAUGCGCAGAUAUCAGGAGGAACACCGGUGGCGAAGGCGGGACUCUGGGCCGAUACUGACGCUGAGGAGCGAAAGCCAGGGGAGCAAACGGG
rnacentral:rRNA from 1 species